UAACAGGAAGAAGCUUGCUUCUUUGCUGACGAGUGGCGGACGGGUGAGCAAUGUCUGGGAAACUGCCUGAUGGAGGGGGAUAACUACUGGAAACGGUAGCUAAUACCGCAUAACGUCGCAAGACCAAAGAGGGGGACCUUCGGGCCUCUUGCCAUCGGAUGUGCCCAGAUGGGAUUAGCUAGUAGGUGGGGUAACGGCUCACCUAGGCGACGAUCCCUAGCUGGUCUGAGAGGAUGACCAGCCACACUGGAACUGAGACACGGUCCAGACUCCUACGGGAGGCAGCAGUGGGGAAUAUUGCACAAUGGGCGCAAGCCUGAUGCAGCCAUGCCGCGUGUAUGAAGAAGGCCUUCGGGUUGUAAAGUACUUUCAGCGGGGAGGAAGGGAGUAAAGUUAAUACCUUUGCUCAUUGACGUUACCCGCAGAAGAAGCACCGGCUAACUCCGUGCCAGCAGCCGCGGUAAUACGGAGGGUGCAAGCGUUAAUCGGAAUUACUGGGCGUAAAGCGCACGCAGGCGGUUUGUUAAGUCAGAUGUGAAAUCCCCGGGCUCAACCUGGGAACUGCAUCUGAUACUGGCAAGCUUGAGUCUCGUAGAGGGGGGUAGAAUUCCAGGUGUAGCGGUGAAAUGCGUAGAGAUCUGGAGGAAUACCGGUGGCGAAGGCGGCCCCUGGACGAAGACUGACGCUCA
rnacentral:rRNA from 1 species